UAUGAGAAAAAGGGAAAGAAAA
rnacentral:piRNA from 1 species